ACUGAAUAGAUACCCUGGUAGUCCACGCCGUAAACGAUGAGUGCUAAGUGUUAGAGGGUUUCCGCCCUUUAGUGCUGCAGCUAACGCAUUAAGCACUCCGCCUGGGGAGUACGGUCGCAAGACUGAAACUCAAAGGAAUUGACGGGGGCCCGCACAAGCGGUGGAGCAUGUGGUUUAAUUCGAAGCAACGCGAAGAACCUUACCAGGUCUUGACAUCCUCUGACAACUCUAGAGAUAGAGCGUUCCCCUUCGGGGGACAGAGUGACAGGUGGUGCAUGGUUGUCGUCAGCUCGUGUCGUGAGAUGUUGGGUUAAGUCCCGCAACGAGCGCAACCCUUGAUCUUAGUUGCCAGCAUUUAGUUGGGCACUCUAAGGUGACUGCCGGUGACAAACCGGAGGAAGGUGGGGAUGACGUCAGAUCAUCAUGCCCCUUAUGACCUGGACUACACACGUGCUACAAUGGAUGGUACAAAGGGCUGCAAGACCGCGAGGUCAAGCCAAUCCCAUAAAACCA
rnacentral:rRNA from 1 species